ensembl:lncRNA
GAGAACCGGGAGAGGAGCGCGUCUAUGAACAACGUUACGAUACAGGAGUGUCUGUCUUGGAGACAUUUGGAUUUCGAGAAGCCAACUUAAAUGACAAUAAACUGUGGCAGCAAGUGGACACUUAUGCAAGGAUGCAAGACAACUAAAAAGGAUCUACACAAUACGACCGUGUGUGGAGUGGAUAUAUACGUCACACUAUGCAAAUUGUGCAGUGUGUUCUCAUCAACACUAAACACCUGCUUUGUUUCUCUCACUCCUUCAGGCUUUCAAAAACAACCCGUCAGUGACAUACGAACCAUGUAGAAAAAAUCAAACAAACAUUGCCAUGGUUUCCACCAGCGUAAGAGACGCAGUGCUUUCAGGGGUCCCUUUGUUCUCCCUUGUCCCCUCUGAAGUGGUCGAGUGGCUUCAUGGGUACUCGCUUUUAUCCUCCCUGUGUUUCAUCCUGAUCAUUAUCCUCAUCAUAAUCAUAAUUAUGGGUGCCUACCCCCAUCGUAUCAGCUAUUCUUCCAACGAGGAGCAUUUAAUUGACAUUCCAUCGGGAGGUUUUCAUCAGCUUAACAACAAGUGACAUCUUAUCCAAUCCAGCGCCACCAGACAGAAAGCUAAAAGCAGCCAGUCACAUCUUCAGAGAGUCUGAUCCAACACAGGUGUUUGGUGAGUUUGAGUCUCUUCCAGCAGUGGUUAUGCUCUGAUUUUGCGAUAGUUUGAUGUGGGAAGAUCAGAUUCUCUGUCAAGAUCACCUCAGGGCGUUGGCACUGAAAUCCGUCAGCACAACAUUCAGGAAUUCAAUCCAUGGCUGUAAACCGGUCCUCUUUCACCACGUAUAAUACAACAGGAUGGGGGGGGGGAGGCCUCACUUUGUGGUGAAGGUGGAUGGGUGGGCUCCGCUAUACGGGUGUCCUCUCCACACAAAGUCUCCAACCUACACGUCUGUGCUUUAGUAGCCAGUGAUCGGAUCCCGCACCGGAUCCAUAGUUAUAUAGACCAUUCAAAAGGUUCAUGAAAACCCAUCCAACUGUUAACAGAACCAAGGCAGACCAUUGGAUGCACACUUUAACACCGUUAGUGAUUGGUCGAAAUACCUUGGUUUCUGCGUCUGGAUUUCUGGAAUUGUUUGCUCACAAUUUGGCGAAGCGCGUCCAUAUUAGUGUGUAAGCCACCGGUCUGUCGGGAGAGAGUGCUGCGAUGAGGCCUGGUGUGUAGGGGACUGCCAUGCGGAUGCGGCCCAGACGGCGUUUGCUAAUGCUGAACUGCGUCAUUAGAGUCCGUUGAUCACUUCAGUUCCUUUCCCUCGCCCCCACAUCGUAGAGUCGCGGAGAAACAACAACAGGCUUCCUCCAAUUUAAACCUUUUUCUGAUUCCUUCCUCCUCUCCUUGUCGUCCACUGUAAUGGUAUAGGGCUCAGCCUUCUCCUACUAUGCACACGUCAGCCGUAUAGAGCAGACCACUGAAAACUGAAGAACAUUACUGGGAGAUAGCCUUGAGAUAGCCAGCUCACACCUUCACCACAUCCUCUGCUCUUGGUUUAAUCAUGAGAACGUAGCCUAAUACAGGGAUAGACGAUUCCAGAUGUGUUGGAGUUGAUUCAGACUCCUAUUCCACCUAAUGGAAUUCAUGGAAUCGAUUCUCAAUCCAUUCUGAUUCCAAAAGAAAAGCACACACCAAAGAAUGCCUGCCUUCCG